UGCUACGGGUAUAAUGGCUGAGUUUCUUGGAAGGACGUGCGUGCCGCAGAUUGAGGUUUGUCGCGGGCAUAGGUUUCGUUUGAAGUUCCUUCUUCAAUUGCUAGAGAAGAGGAUUCAGGAUGCGUUUUCCCAAGUGCAGCAGAAGAUUUGUAAUAGAGGAGAAGAUUGCUCCUAAAAGCCCACAAUUUUUCAUCGGCAGAGGUAGCUAUUUUAUAGUUAAGUUUGCUCAUCGAGAAAACCUGAGAGGGAGAUGCCCGCCAAAGAGACGCGUUGUCCGGCUGCAAUCCGUGCGAAGAUGUUGAGGAGAGCAUACUCUCGAUAGGGAACAUGAUAUGGUCACAUAACUUGGAGAGAUCUUCCUGGGAAUAAAUUCAUCAGCAAGAUGCUCAGCAUCAACAUAUUUCCAGACGGGUUUAGUUAUUGGCUCUAAAGUUUGAGGCAACAGUACUGCAGUAGGUUUCAGAGUAAGACUUAUCCAGCUUCCUUUUAUCUGAUACAUAACAGGUAUAAGAAGGUUGCAGUCGAUCGCAUACCGCUAUUAACUAUUAAUUAGCUAUUAAGCUAUUAAAAUGUGAGUUUUAGGAGAUAAAUACGUAGAUUUAUUUUGUAAAGGUAUUAGUAAUUCUAAAUAACAGAUUUCGAUGAUGCGACGUAUAACUUCGAUUGGAACGCAUUUAAUAAUAUGAGCUACUUCACCCGAAAUCGUAGCCAUAUAGCCAGGGCCUUUUAUUAAGUUGUAUGCAAAAACAUCAGGUUGGAUAUGAGCUAUUGAUAUAGCGUUUUUCAAAACUUGUUAUUCUAAUUUACACUUUUGAUCAAGAAUAUUAUGGUAAAGGUCUUGCAUUUGUGUCUUUAAGUGUUUCUCGACGUAGACAAAUUUAGAAUUAAUAAGUGAAGAUAUUUAAAUUUUCGAUAGAAAUUCUAAUAAGUUUAGCAAAGAGAUUAUUUUUAUUUGUUUCUACGAUUAACAAUUUAGAAUGUUCAGUCUAUAUCAAGGUAUAGCCACACAUAUUAUAUUCAUUUUUUGAAUAAGGCAAAAGUGACAUCUUUUGUUAUUAACGAAUAUACAAAGGGUAUUGAGUGUUUGAAUCAGCUAUUUUAUAAACUUGAUUUUGAUACAAGACAUUAUAAGCAUGGAAGUUAUAUGUCUCGGGCAAAGGAGCUUAUUAUACAUUUCCCCCGUCUUCAUCGAUACAUUCAUUCCUUGAAAGCGUGCAUUGAAUUCCUGAAGGGAGUGUAAUAUCUAUCUUUGUCUAUAAUCUCAAUUUUUUCAGAGUCUCAUCUCAUCUCAUUUUUUGACAGUCGCGACAAUUUCGUAUGAAAUCUUAAAUUUGAGUUUUGAUAUUAUCCCAAUAGUAAUCUUGACGAAUCCUAAGAUAAGUUUUUGUCACAUCCUUGUGUCCGCCUGCAGUUAAUCGAUGAUAUUCGCUGAUGAUGUUUGGCCUUUCUUCUUCAGGAGGGACCGUAAUUAAACCUUCGCAAAUGGUAAUAGAAAUGGGCCUAUCAAAAGUGUUUUAUAAUUCUUCAACGAUUAAUGGUCAAGGUAUAUCGUCUAGUUAUUGGGUUUUUGCUAAAAGAAUUCAAUUGAAGUUUGACUAUUACAUCCAACAAAGAACGAAUAGUUUCCUGAAAUAUGUUCCAAUUCAUAAUAAGUCUUUCUUUUUUUAACCGGUA